AUCCCACUCCUGACACCAGUGUACCAGGUAUCAGUGACUGUAAUCCCACCACUCACACCAGUGUACCAGGUAUCCGUGACUGUAAUCCCACCGCUCACACCAGUGUACCAGGUAUCCGUGACUGUAAUCCCACCUCUAACACCAGUGUACCAGGUAUCUGUGAC